AACUAAAAAAUUUUGGUCUUUCAAGGAAAAAAUAACAUUAACUAGAUCAAAAGAAAAAUGAUUAAAAGCAUAUUGAAAUUUUAAAAUUUGAGAUUUAGAAAAAAAAAACAGAAAUAAAUAGACUUUUAUAAUUUAAAUAACUAAUAAAAAUAGAUUUGUAUAGAGAGAAUAUAAAGAAGAAAAUAAGAAAUUAAAAAAUUAAGAGAGGAAAGUAAAGAAAUAUUUGGGAAAGAGAAGAAGGAAAGCGUAGGGUGGCCUGGCAGGAAGGAGGGUUUUAUUGUAUAAACUUUUAACCAAAAAGUCGACGGAGCGGAGCCCCUCUCCUUUUCUAGCUGCCCAGAUUGAAUUCCUCUGGGAACAACUAAACUAUUAGCCAAAGGUCUAGUGGAAACUGCUUACUCGAGGGAAACUCCCCUUUUUGUCUCGUACCUCCGCUCCUAAGCUAACUAAGAGCGCUAUCCGUUCCUACGCCCCCUACCGAACCUGAGGAUGAAACUUGAGAUUCAUUCUUCUCAAAACAAAAGCAGUACCGAAGAUAGUAAGAAAUCCGGACAAAACCUUCCUGUUUUUGGGGAAGAAGAAAGUACCGGAUUAAGUAGGCAAUCUUAGGACAAUUCUUUUUCUUCAUUAGGGCUCUUAGCCUCGAGU
rnacentral:lncRNA from 1 species